CGCCCGUUUCCUGUUAUCCCGCCCUCUCUGGUUGGCGAAUUUCAAAGUCGCGGAGCCAAUGAGAGCGUCCGGACGCGCGCCGGGGUUCUCUGUCCAGAACAGGGCGCGCCCUUUGAAGAAAGAAACUGUCGCGGGAGAGUCAUGGUGGGACCGGGCCCUGCUGCCAGCGCAGCCGCGGAAGAAAGAUGGAGAAAGCUCCAAGAGUACCUGGCAGCCAAGGGAAAGCUGAAGGAUCCUAACACCAAGCCUUAUCUAAAAGCCAAGAACAUCUGCCCCAAACCACCAUCUUCUAAAUAUACUCCUGGACCCAAAAAAGAUGUUUCCAGCCAUGCUGUUUUACCUGUCAGAACUACAAAACCCAUCAACAUCAAACUCCAGACUAAACCAGCCAGUAUCACAGGGUCCCAGAAGCCAGAGUUGGAGCCACGAAAACUUGCAGACAAAGGGCUCACUUCAAGAUGUUUUUCUUCUAACUCAGACUACAAACAGUCCAGCAAGAGUCAGCCGCAGCACAGGGCUACGUCAUCCACUACAGGACUACCAAGCAAACCCAGGCAAUCCCCUGGGACCCAGGAUUUGGAACCCAAAAAGCAGCAGCCAGCACAUCAAGGAACUGCUGAUUGCACCAAUCCUGCAGCUAGGACCAACAUCAAAAACCAGUCUUUGAAGGGCUUUCAAGAUGAGAUGAACAAAGAGAACUUGCUAGAACCUGGGAAGCCAGAUCCCGACUUAUGCCCCAGAAGUAAGCCAAACACUGGCUCCUAUAAUCAAUCCCGGAAAAGCCUGGCUCCUAAACAGAUCUUGAAUAAAAGUUCGGUUAACCAUACCAUUCUGAAAGACAGAGCUAACAAACAGGUUGUUAGAAACACACAAGUCAGAGCUCACCCAGUGAAGUCGCAGCACCUCUCUACAGAUACAGAUUCCGCACGACCUACAGAAAAAGCCCCACGGACAGUUCCCCCUCGAUUCAUUACAGCCCAUAAUAAGACUCAGACGGCAAAGAAACCCGUGGUCAAGGACACACAGGACGUAAAGGUUAGCAGGAUUAAAUGUGGAAGACCGCAUGAAACUACGGUACAGCCACACCCUGCUACCGAACGGAAAGUAAAGCAUACUAAACCUGGUUCCCACCCCAGCUUGCUUCAGGGAGGACAGAACAACAGACAGCCUCCCAUCAAGCAGGAUCAAAAAGCUGCGCAGCCUUGUCUUGGACCCCGGACAUCAUGCAUUCUGCAGAAGUCAAGAGCCAUAAGCCAGAGGCCUAAUUUGACAGCUGGCAACUUUAAUUCGGUCACUCUAAGCACCCCUAGCAUAGGAGCAAAUAAAACCCAUAACCACAAAUGCAAUAGCAUCUUUCAACAAAAAGCACAGACUCUGGACUUCAAGCUCAAAAAGGUUCUUCCCCAGAGCCAGUUUCUGAGCAAGACUGCUCCCAAAACUCAAGCUGGUAUGUCAGCCGCAAGUAGGAGAGGAGCCCCGAGCGCCAGCCACAUUCGUCCGCGUGUCAAAGAGACGCAAGGGGAGGACCGGAGGAAACAGCUGGAAGAAUGGCAGAAAUCUAAAGGGAAAACCUAUAAACGCCCUCCCAUGAAGUUCAAAGCCAAGAGAAAAGUCAUAGAGGAAAUGAACAUCUCAUUCUGGAAGAGCAUGGAGAGGGAGGCAGAGGAGGAGGAAGAAAAGAAAGCCCAGCUGGAGCUGUCCAGUAAGAUUAACAAUACUCUGACAGAAUGUCUGAGGCUCAUUGAAGAGGGUGUAUUUCCUAAUGAAAUAUUUACCAUCUUGUCCAGCAUUCCUGAGGCUGAAAAAUUUUCCAAGUUCUGGGUCUGCAAAGCGAAGUUACUGGCAAGUAAAGGCCCCUUUGAUGCUACUGGACUGUAUGAAGAGGCCAUCAAACAUGGGGCAGCACCAACGCAAGAACUGAGGAACGUUCUGAGCAGCCUGCAAGACUCAAGCAGAAGCACAGAGGCAGUCACCUCUGACUCGUUAGCUGCUGGAACUAAUGUCACAUCUGUGGAUGAGCCGGCCAAGAAGGAGGAAUGUGGGCAGUCGUGUCUUUCUCUAACAGAGGGAGAACAGGUUACAACAGCACCGCCAAUAACCGCGGCAGAAUGGGAUAACCCUGGCAUCAAACUACAGAUCGCCGCAGUCCCCAAGAUAUGUGGUAUGCCAGAAAUGCAAGACAUGAAGCUUAUCACUCCCGUGAGGCGCUCAGCGAGGAUCGAGAGAGCAGUGGCCCGCUACCCAGAAAUGCUGCAGGAUCAUGACCUUGUGGUGGCUUCUCUUAAUGAGCUCCUGGAAGUGGACAAAACAGAGUACUUUGUCUUCCGGGAAAAUGAGGCUUUACCUGUGACACUAGGUUUCGAAAUCCUUGAAUCAUGAUCUUUUGAUUUUUUUUUUAUUUAAUGAGUUUUUUCCAGGGCUUGUAUGAGAUAAGAGAUGCUCUUGUCAAGAAGGCCUGAGGUAAAUGUGCAUGGAGACGCCAGGGUGCAGAGCAGAGACUUUGUGUCUGAGGAAGCAACGCGUGGGUUUACUCUCACACUGUAUAUCCCAUGGAAAACUGUGGCUCGUGUGUUUGGUUAUAUACUUUGUGAUAGUUUUUCGGCAUACAUAAGUUUCGGAGUAUCAAAUAUUUUAUCUCAAAUGUAGAAAAGAAAAACCAUACUUUGUUGAUCUACUGUAAUUCUAUUUUUGAACCCAAAGGUUGAUGCUGUGGGGUGACUGACUGUUCUUUUGCCAUCCACCUUACCUAGGAAGGCAGAUGCCUCGGGUGGGAAGAUUUGAGUUUGAAACCAGCUCACCAGGCGGGAUGGUCGAACCUCACACAUCAGGAAGGUUAGGUUAGCCAUGCCUUCACUCGGUUUCCAGGUGACAUUCAUGGAGUCCUUUGACCUCUGUCACAGUGACCCUAUAGGUGAGGGUGACUCGUGUCCUCGCUGAGUGGGUCUCCUCUAGUGAAGCACAACCCAGAGUUUCGUGGCUAGCCGGGUUUUUCUUGGACACAGUCCUCAUUUUGCCCUUGUUAUUCAGAAAUGCUUCAAGUGAAAAGAGAAGUUGUGGAGACACUUGCUGCAUACAUUGUUUUCAGGAGACUCAGCCUGAAGAGACUGUGAAUCCCAGAGACUAUGGCAGGGGUUUUUCUUCUCCUUGGGUUUUUCUUCUCCUCUUAGAGAGGAAAACCAGAAUUGUUUUGUAAAUAUAAUGUAUAGAAAGCCUACUUGGUACGUUUUAAAUUUCAGCCUUGUUACUCUUAUUACUAAGUAAUAUCUAAAAUAAAUAAAUAAAUAAAAAUUAAAUAGUUGUUCA